UACGUAGGAGGCAAGCGUUGUCCGGAAUUACUGGGCGUAAAGCGCGUGUAGGUGGUGGGACAAGUCUGCUGUGAAAGUGCCUGGCUUAACCGGGCGAGGUCGGCGGAAACUGUCCGACUCGAGGACGGUAGAGGGGGGUGGAAUUCCCGGUGUAGUGGUGAAAUGCGUAGAGAUUAGGAAGAACACCAGUGGCGAAGGCGACUUACUGGACUGUAACUGACGCUGAGGCAUGAAAGCGUGGGGAGCAAACAGG
rnacentral:rRNA from 1 species